rnacentral:pre_miRNA from 3 species
UUCCCUUUGUCAUCCUAUGCCUGCAGUUCCUGAUGAGGCUGGGACAGCAAAGGGAGGU